AUCUCAGUUCAGACUGCAGGCUGCAACUCGCCUGCACGAAGUCGGAAUUGCUAGUAAUCGUAGGUCAGCAUACUACGGUGAAUACGGUUCCCGGGCCUUGUACACACCGCCCGUCAAACCAUGAGAGUUGGCAACACCCGAAGUCGGUAGUCUAACCGCAAGGAGGACGCCGCCGAAGGUGGGGUUGAUGAUUAGGGUUAAGUCGUAACAAGGUAGC
rnacentral:rRNA from 1 species